rnacentral:ncRNA from 2 species
GGCAUCUGCGCGGGAGAGCUCUCUGGCCGGUCCAAUUGGACGUGCCGGGGGCACCGAAGGAGCAACCGCCCCGGAAACUCUCAGGUCACAGGGACCGCGCAGCUGGU